UAUGAUACCAGGGUCCGCGUCGACGUGACGUGGGUGCGACCUUGAUUCGCACCCAACACUGUUUGGGUCCGGUCAGUUGCACCUGAUUAAAAAUGACGUGCAUCCGACUCAUGGUAAAAAAUGAGUCAGGUAUUUUGGUCCAUUUUUAAGAUUUUUUUUUUUUUUUAUUUUCAACAUUUUGUUAGGGGCUUGGGGCACGACUGUCGCCCUUUGCCACUGCCCUCACAAUCCCUCCUGCGAUCCUCCUUUUCACCGGCGGCAGCUUCCUCUAUGUCUGGCGACCGGCGUCGGCUGCAAUCGUCCCUUCCACCGGCGGCAGCUUCCUCUACGUCCGGCGACCGGCGUCGGCUGUGAUCUUCUCUUCCGGCGGCAUCGUCUUCUUCCUCAACCCUCUUUCCUCUUUCCCUGUUUUCUCCUGAUUAGCGUUGUGCCAGUUGUUGCUUUCAAAGUCAAGAAACCACUACAUCUUUUGGCCGGACAAAUUGAACAUGGAUUUUUUUGAUCCUGUUGUUCCUUAUGAGGCAUUUGAUGAUGAUGAUACCGUUGAAAGGAUUGAAGAAAAUCAAGAUAUUAGUGGAAGUGGAACACAACUCUAAUUGAUGAUGUAAUAUUGUAAUAUAAUAUGUAUUGAUGUAUGAACUAUGAAGUAUGACUGUAUGAACUGUGAUUCUGUGAACUCAAAACUAAAGUAUAUUUCUUGUUGAAUGUUGAACUGAUGAUUAAUAAAUGAUAAUGAUAUCAUGAUUAGCAAAUUGCA